rnacentral:rRNA from 1 species
GGGCUUGCAUGAAUGGAUAAACGAGGUUAAAACUUUAUUCUUGCUUUAACGUAAACUAAUAAUUAAGUGAAAAAGCUUAAAUCCAAGAGAAAGACAAGAAGACCCUAUAGAGCUUUACCUUACCCCCAAUUUCAUUUGGGAUAGGGUUUAAUUGGGGCAAUUAAAGCUCAUACUAGCAAUACUAACUCUUAAGGCCCCACGCCAGAAAACCGACCCAAAAGAUCAAAGAAAACAGCUACCUUAGGGAUAACAGGCUGGUUUCUUUCGAGAGCCCACAUUAACAAAGAAGAUCGGCACCUCGAUGUUGGCUUAGGGUACCCCGUAGGCGCAAAAGCCUGCAACGGUGGGUUUGUUCGACCCUUAACAACCCU